GAAGAAGCAAAAUGAUGACAAAUAUUUUCUUGAACCCUGAAAAAGUAACCUUGUGUGUGACUGAGUGGAGAUGGACGAGUGCAGGUGUGUUUGAGUGAGAGUUGUGAUUUGUGGAAUUCACAAUUUGGGUCAUGAGAGCCAAACUGAUAAGAUCUGACUGCUUC